GAGUUUGAUCCUGGCUCAGGGAUGAACGCUAGCGGAACGCCUAACACAUGCAAGUCGAACGGAUUCUGCGUUGUAGCAAUACAUAGUAGAAUUAGUGGCAAACGAGCGAGUAACGCGUGCCUAACCUGCCCUUAAGAUGGGAACAACUACGGAGACGUAGCUAAAUCCCAAUAUGCUCACGAUGGUGAAAUGCCGAUGCGAGGAAAGAUUUAUCGCUUAAGGAGGGGGGCGCGUCCUAUCAGGUAGUUGGUUGAGGUAACGGCUCACCAAGCCUAUGACAGGUAGCUGGUCUGAGAUGAUGUCCAGCCGCGAUGGGACUGAGAUACGGCCCAUACUCCUACGGGAGGCAGCAGUGGGGAAUCUUGCACAAUGGACGAAAGUCUGAUGCAGCGAUCCCGCGUGAAGGAUGAAGCAUUACGGUGUGUAAACUUCUUUUUUGGUGGAAGACGAAUGACGGUACACCAAGAAUAAGAGACGGCUAACUACGUGCCAGCAGCCGCGGUAAUACGUAGGUCUCAAGCGUUAUCCGGAUUUACUGGGCGUAAAGUAUCCGUAGCCUGAUAUGUAAGUCUGUUUUCAAAUCCCACGACUCAAUCGUGGAAAGGGAAUGGAUACUGCAUAUCUAGAAGUUAUUGGGGGUUAGUGGAAUUUCCGGUGGAGCGGUGAAAUGCGUUGAUAUCGGAAAGAACGCCGAAAGCGAAAGCAGCUAACUAUGAUUAACUUGACGGUGAGGGAUGAAAGUUUGGGUAGCAAACGGGAUUAGAUACCCCGGUAGUCCAAACUGUAAAUUAUGCUUGCUAGGUGUUUCGAUCCUUGUGGUCGGAGUGCCGUAAUCUAACGAGUUAAGCAAGUCGCCUGGGUAGUAUAUUCGCAAGAAUGAAACUCAAAGGGAUAGGCGGGGGAGC
rnacentral:rRNA from 1 species